CACGUAGUUAGCCGUGGCUUUCUAAUAAGGUACCGUCAAGGUACGGGCAGUUACUCCCGUACGUGUUCUUCCCUUACAACAGAGCUUUACGAUCCGAAAACCUUCUUCGCUCACGCGGCAUUGCUCCAUCAGACUUUCGCCCAUUGUGGAAGAUUCCCUACUGCUGCCUCCCGUAGGAGUCUGGGCCGUGUCUCAGUCCCAGUGUGGCCGAUCACCCUCUCAGGUCGGCUACGCAUCGUCGCCUUGGUAGGCCGUUACCCCACCAACUAGCUAAUGCGCCGCGGGCCCAUCCUACAGUGACAGCGAGACGCCGUCUUUCAGAGUUGGUUCAUGCGAACCAACUGAUUAUUCGGUAUUAGCCCCGGUUUCCCGGAGUUAUCCCCAUCUGUAGGGCAGGUUGCCCACGUGUUACUCACCCGUCCGCCGCUAACGUUUCAAAGAGCAAGCUCUCUGAAACGUCCGCUCGACUUGCAUGUAUUAGGCAUGCCGCAGCGUUGUCCU
rnacentral:rRNA from 1 species